rnacentral:rRNA from 1 species
GAUGAACGCUGGCGGCGUGCCUAAUACAUGCAAGUCGAACGGUGGAGAGCAAUCUCCAUAGUGGCGAACAGGUGAGUAACGCGUUGGUAACCUGCCCCGGAGUGUGGGAUAACAGGCCGAAAGGCUUGCUAAUACCGCAUGGGCAACUGAGGAAUAGCAGCUUAGUUGCAAAGGAGUAAUCCGCUCUGGGAGGGGCCUGCGACCCAUCAGCUAGUUGGUAAGGUAACGGCCUACCAAGGCGAUGACGGGUAGGGGACCUGAGAGGGUGACCCCCCACAAUGGAACUGAAACACGGUCCAUACACCUACGGGUGGCAGCAGUAGGGAAUAUUGCAUAAUGGGCGAAAGCCUGAUGCAGCAACGCCGCGUGUGCGAUGAAGGCCUUCGGGUUGUAAAGCACUUUUGAUCGGGAAGAGGAAGGACGGUACCGGUCGAAUAAGCCUCGGCUAACUACGUGCCAGCAGCCGCGGUAAAACGUAGGAGGCGAGCGUUAUCCGGAUUUACUGGGUGUAAAGCGCGUGCAGGCGGUUGACUAAGUUGGAUGUGAAAGCUCCUGGCUCAACUAGGAGAGGUCGUUCAAGACUGGUCGACUGGAGAGCAGUAGAGGAAGGUGGAAUUCCGGGUGUAGUGGUGAAAUGCGUAGAUAUCCGGAGGAACACCAGUGGCGAAAGCGGCCUUCUGGACUGCAUCUGACGCUCAGACGCGAAAGCUAGGGGGGCAAACGGGAUUAGAGACCCCGGUAGUCCUAGCUGUAAACGAUGUGAACUUGGCGCUGGUUGGGUAAAACCGAUCCGUGCCGGAGCAAACGCGAUAAGUUCACCACCUGAGGACUACGGCCGCAAGGUUA